AGACUGAAGAGCUCGCUCUGGCAAUUUCUACCUCGAGGCCACACCCCCUUUGCAUGUGAUAUCAUCAUGUGACAUAUCACAUGUAAAGGGGGUGUGGCCUAGAGCUCUAAAGAGUCCUGAUACGUUCUGUGUAUAGAAAGCUAUUUCUAUGGCUUCGUUUGAAGAUCCUUUGGUGACUUUCAGCUUGUUCGGAUUUAAAAGAGGACCAGCAUCAACGGGCAGCACUACUGAGGCCCAAGAACUUCGGAGAGCCAAUCAGAACUACUUCCUCUGAGUAGAGUAGACCACCCCGCUGGGAAAUAUGAAGCCCCUUCAUUUGUGUGCUGCAUCAGCAUGCCACUAAGACAGGAUAGUGCUCAGAGACUGUGACUUACCAUCCUAGCUGACCUCUUGCCUGCCUUGAGGGUGCAGCAAGGAGAAGGAGCCUGCUGCAUCCAACUUCAGCCUCCAGUGAUGGAGUGAAUACUAGUAGAAUUUGAUGAAACAAAUUACCUGGGGCAUUCUGAAGUCUACAUUUCUGAAAC